rnacentral:rRNA from 1 species
GUUAGGAAUAUUGGACAAUGGACGCAAGUCUGAUCCAGCCAUGCCGCGUGAGUGAUGAAGGCCUUCGGGUUGUAAAGCUCUUUAGCCGAUGAUUAUAAUGACUGUAGUCGGAAAAUAAGCCCCGGCUAACUUCGUGCCAGCAGCCGCGGUAAUACGAAGGGGGCGAGCGUUAUUCGGAAUCACUGGGCGUAAAGCGUGCGUAGGCGGUUUUGUAAGUUGGGAGUGAAAGCCCAGGGCUCAACCCUGGAAUUGCUCUCAAAACUACAAGACUUGAAUUCGGGAGAGGAUAGCGGAAUUGUCAGUGUAGCAGUGAAAUGCGUAGAUAUUGACAGGAACACCAGUGGCGUAAGCGGCUAUCUGGACCGACAUUGACGCUGAGGCACGAAAGCGUGGGGAUCAAACAGGAUUAGAUACCCUGGUAGUCC